GUGGAUGUAGCCAAGUGGUUAAGGCAGCGGACUGCAACUCCGCGACCGAGGGUUCAACUCCCUCCAUCCACU
rnacentral:tRNA from 1 species